rnacentral:rRNA from 1 species
UACGGGGGGAGCAAGCGUUGUUCGGAUUUACUGGGCGUAAAGGGCUCGUAGGCGGCACCGCAAGUCGACUGUGAAAUCUCCGGGCUUAACCCGGAAAGGUCAGCCGAUACUGCGGGGCUAGAGUGCAGAAGGGGCAACUGGAAUUCUCGGUGUAGCGGUGAAAUGCGUAGGUAUCGAGAGGAACACCUGCGGCGAAGGCGGGUUGCUGGGCUGACACUGACGCUGAUGCGCGAAAGCUAGGGGAGCGGACGGG